rnacentral:misc_RNA from 1 species
CAACUAGUGUCAGAAAUAGUAUCAAGAACAACCGAAGAUAGAACAACUAGGGCAACUGGUCCUAAACAAUCCCAGAUCACAUUUCUACACUCUGAAAGAAAUGAAGCACCUAACCAAAGACUCCCUCCCAUCACCAUGAAGUCUGAAUUCCAAGGAGGUGAUAAGUAUUCCAAUCAGCUCAUUGAUGAUCGGCUGUCUGGGUAUACUUCUGAUGUUCAAUCAUCUGAAUGGGACGAGUCACGCCAGAUCACACAAUUGACACAGGAAGGGGACCAUGACAAUGAUCAACAAUCAAUGGAGGCUCUCGCCAAAAUGAGACAGCUCACCAAGAUUCUAAAUCAGUCAGAUACAAAUGGGGAGGUCUCCCCUGCUUAUAAUGAUAGGGACCUGCUCAGCUAAGUUCUAAAAGACAUUGCAGAAUCAAAUGAAACAUGCAUCUUCAAGCCAAUUAUAAAAAA